GCCAGCAUGGUGUAGUGGUUUGAGCAUUGGACUAGGACUCUGGAGAUGGGGGUUCAAAUCCCCACUCAGCCA
rnacentral:tRNA from 1 species